rnacentral:rRNA from 1 species
GUAAACCGACACAGGUAGUCGAGGAGAGUAUCCUAAGGUGAGCGAGCGAACUCUCGUUAAGGAACUCGGCAAAAUGACCCCGUAACUUCGGGAGAAGGGGUGCUGACUUCGGUCAGCCGCAGUGAAUAGGCCCAAGCGACUGUUUAUCAAAAACACAGGUCUCUGCAAAAUCGUAAGAUGAAGUAUAGGGGCUGACGCCUGCCCGGUGCUGGAAGGUUAAGAGGAUGGGUUAGCUUCGGCGAAGCUCAGAAUUGAAGCCCCAGUAAACGGCGGCCGUAACUAUAACGGUCCUAAGGUAGCGAAAUUCCUUGUCGGGUAAGUUCCGACCCGCACGAAAGGCGUAACGAUUUGGGCACUGUCUCAACGAGAGACUCGGUGAAAUUUUAGUACCUGUGAAGAUGCAGGUUACCCGCGACAGGACGGAAAGACCCCAUGGAGCUUUACUGUAGUUUGAUAUUGAGUGUUUGUACCACAUGUACAGGAUAGGUAGGAGCCGAUGAGACCGGAACGCUAGUUUCGGAGGAGGCGCUGGUGGGAUACUACCCUU